GGGCUUAUAGCACAGUGGUAGCGCGCAUGCUUCGCAUUUCGAUGUUUGCAUGAGGUCGGGAGUUCAAUCCUCCCUGAGUCCA